GUUUAAAAAAGAAGGACUACACAUAGUUACAACGUUUUAUUUACAUAUAUUUACAGGUAUAUUCCAUUACGAAAUGUAUGCUAAAAUAGUCCAACUUUAUUCCUUUGUUACAGUCAUGUAAGCUGAUGUUUGAAGCCACAGUAAACAGCA
rnacentral:lncRNA from 1 species